rnacentral:lncRNA from 1 species
GUUCUUUACCUGGUAGAUAAUGAGCUGAUAAGAGAUCUUUUCUGAUCAGUGCCCUUGUGGGUUAUCAGAAAUGGCCAGGUUACCCCACUGGUCUGUGGUAGGUCAGUAGCUGUGGAUUGUAUAGAGGGGUGGCACCUUGCCAGUGAACUCUCAGUAUUGAGAUGGCCUCUGCUGAUGGAAUAUUGAUCUCAGGUCUGUUGGUAACAAUGGGAUUCAGGGGUGAGCCGUAAUAAAACAAGCCCUUAUUUAGUUUGCUGGGUAGCUGCCACCCUGUUAACUCUCCUUUGUAACUGAGCCUUCCAGUUCCAGGAGAAACAUGUGUUGUCUUGCUUAUAAAAUGGAUCUUGAUGGAACUUGGGAAAAAUGUGCUAAGAGAAAAACAGCAGAAUGGAUCCAUUGUAACCAUUGGUGAUCCAUGACCCUCAUUAGAAAUAGAUCAAAUCCAUAGAUCUAGGAAGAUUGCAAAGUUGGUAAAGGGCUUGCUUUAGGAGCAGAACAACAUAGUGUUGAUUGAUAUCCAGCACCCACAUAAUAAAACCUGAGUGUGGUAGCCUGU